GGAAGUGCGGGGGGACGAGCGGGGGUAGCAGGUGGGGGGGGGGGGUUGAUCUGGAUGACGGGGCGGAAAGCGGGCGCAGGGGGUGUGGCAAGGUCGAGGUGAAAGCCCCGGGCUUAACCUGGGAAUUGCAUGGAGGACUGGCGCGCGCGAGUGCGGCAGAGGGGGGUGGAAUUCCACGUGUAGCAGUGAAAUGCGUAGAGAUGUGGAGGAACACCGAUGGCGAAGGCAGCCCCCUGGGCCGACACUGACGCUCAUGCACGAAAGCGUGGGGAGCAAACAGGAUUAGAUACCCGGGUAUUC
rnacentral:rRNA from 1 species